rnacentral:tRNA from 1 species
GGGAGUGUCGCCUAAAGGAUCGGGCAUCGGUCUUCUAAACCGAUUUGUGUAGGUUCGAGUCCUGCCACUCCUG